CGAUGUGGGAUUGCUAUUACAUCAGUUCAGUUGUGAGAUGAUUAGCGUCACUUUCCACUCCCCAGUCCUUGUUGUGAUUGUGAUCCGAUCUUUGGGAGACUAGGGUAAUGGGACACUGGGACUUAUAGGUGCCUGCUGCUUGGUUUGUUGUUGAAUGGUGAAUGCUGAUGAGAAACCUAAUCUAAUCGUCCGAUUAGUUGGUGAUUAAUCGCGGGACGAUCACUCUGCCACUCUGCCACAUCACUGCUUUGGAAUUCCGGCCAACAAUUUCGGCCCAUCGGCCCAGCCCAGGCUUCCUUUUUCCCAUCCCACGUGAGCACAGCCAAGCCAACAGCAAAGCCCAGGCUGCCCAGCACACGCGACGCGAACCAGCUGCCGAGGAACUCUAGCGGAGCACUGUGCAGGCGAAGGCGGCGCGCUACCAGUGACGGGGGGAUACGGCGGCAUCGUCCCCUCCUCCAUCCCUGGUGCGGCGGCGCCAGCCUGCAGGUGUUGAAUGCUGAUUUGUUGUGGCUGAUUAAUCGGGUUGAUCAUCGAUUAAUCGUGAUUAGUCGGCUGAUCGCCCCUCUGGCGAUCAGAAA